AGUAGUUUGAUCAUGGCUCAGGAUGAACGCUAGCGGCAGGCUUAACACAUGCAAGUCGAGGGGCAGGCGGGGUGUAGCAAUACACUGCCGGCGACCGGCGCACGGGUGAGUAACGCGUAUCCAACCUUCCCCUUACUAGAGGAUAGCCCGGCGAAAGUCGGAUUAAUACUCUAUGUUCUCCUUUGAUGGCAUCAGAUGAGGAGCAAAGAUUCAUCGGUAAGGGAUGGGGAUGCGUCUGAUUAGCUUGUCGGCGGGGUAACGGCCCACCGAGGCAACGAUCAGUAGGGGUUCUGAGAGGAAGGUCCCCCACAUUGGUACUGAGACACGGACCAAACUCC
rnacentral:rRNA from 1 species